rnacentral:rRNA from 1 species
UACAGAGGUCUCAAGCGUUGUUCGGAUUCAUUGGGCGUAAAGGGUGCGUAGGCGGCGCGGUAAGUCGGGUGUGAAAUCUUGGAGCUUAACUCCGAAACUGCAUUCGAUACUGCCGUGCUUGAGGACUGGAGAGGAGACUGGAAUUUACGGUGUAGCGGUGAAAUGCGUAGAUAUCGUAAGGAAGACCAGUGGCGAAGGCGGGUCUCUGGACAGUUCCUGACGCUGGAGGCACGAAGGCCCAGGGGGAGCAAACGGGG